rnacentral:rRNA from 1 species
AACGAACGCUGGCGGCAUGCCUAACACAUGCAAGUCGAACGAGACCUUCGGGUCUAGUGGCGCACGGGUGCGUAACGCGUGGGAACCUGCCCUUAGGUUCGGAAUAACUCCCCGAAAGGGGUGCUAAUACCGGAUAAUGUCUUCGGACCAAAGAUUUAUCGCCUUUGGAUGGGCCCGCGUUGGAUUAGCUAGUUGGUAGGGUAAAAGCCUACCAAGGCGACGUUCCAUAGCUGGUGUGAGAGGAUGAUCAGCCAGACUGGGACUGAGACACGGCCCAGACUCCUACGGGAGGCAGCAGUGGAGAAUAUUAGACAAUGGGCGAAAGCCUGAUACAGCAAUGCCGCGGGAGUGAUGAAGGCCUUAGGGUUGUAAAGCUCUUUUAGCCGGGAUGAUAAUGACAGUACCGGGAGAAUAAGCACCGGCUAACUCCGUG